rnacentral:rRNA from 1 species
AUUGAACGCUGGCGGCAGGCCUAACACAUGCAAGUCGAGCGGAUGAAGGGAGCUUGCUCCUGGAUUCAGCGGCGGACGGGUGAGUAAUGCCUAGGAAUCUGCCUGGUAGUGGGGGAUAACGUCCGGAAACGGGCGCUAAUACCGCAUACGUCCUGAGGGAGAAAGUGGGGGAUCUUCGGACCUCACGCUAUCAGAUGAGCCUAGGUCGGAUUAGCUAGUUGGUGGGGUAAAGGCCUACCAAGGCGACGAUCCGUAACUGGUCUGAGAGGAUGAUCAGUCACACUGGAACUGAGACACGGUCCAGACUCCUACGGGAGGCAGCAGUGGGGAAUCUUGGACAAUGGGCGAAAGCCUGAUCCAGCCAUGCCGCGUGUGUGAAGAAGGUCUUCGGAUUGUAAAGCACUUUAAGUUGGGAGGAAGGGCAGUAAGUUAAUACCUUGCUGUUUUGACGUUACCAACAGAGUAAGCACCGGCUAACUUCGUG